rnacentral:rRNA from 1 species
CGGAUUAGGUAGUUGGUGGGGUAACGGCCUACCAAGCCGAUGAUCCGUAGGGGGCGUGAGAGCGUGGCCCCCCACACUGGCACUGAGACACGGGCCAGACUCCUACGGGAGGCAGCAGUGAGGAAUAUUGCACAAUGGGCGCAAGCCUGAUGCAGCAACGCCGCGUGAGGGACGAAGGCCUUCGGGUUGUAAACCUCUUUUCUGAGGGACGAGGAAGGACGGUACCUCAGGAAUAAGUCUCGGCUAACUACGUGCCAGCAGCCGCGGUAAAACGUAGGAGGCGAGCGUUAUCCGGAUUUACUGGGCGUAAAGCGCGCGCAGGUGGCUUCGUGAGUCGGACAUGAAAGCUCCUGGCUUAACUGGGAGAGGCUGUUCGAUACUGCGGGGCUUGAGGUUGGGAGAGGGACGCGGAAUUCCCGGUGUAGUGGUGGAAUGCGUAGAUAUCGGGAGGAACACCAGUGGCGCAAGCGGCGUCCUGGCCCACACCUGACGCUGAGGUGCGAAAGCGUGGGUAGCAAACAGGAUUAGAUACCCUGGUAGUCCACGCUGUAAACGAUGUCAACUGGGUGUCGGUAGUUUUACACUAUCGGUGCCGAAGCUAACGCG